rnacentral:lncRNA from 1 species
ACAUAAUAACAUAUUUAUUAUAAUUACUUUUCCACGCAAAAUCGAACAGAAAAAAAAAAUCUUCACACAAAUUAAAGUGUUUGGUCAGAUUUGAUACAUCUAAGGAGAUGGCUGGUUAUUUCCUCAACCCAAAAAGAGAUCAUGCAUUAGAGAAAGCUCCAUCUUCCCAAGUUUGUAACCUUCAUUUGCAGAUUGUGGAAUGAAGUUUUCAGAUUUUAGCAACAGUCGCCGUGGCCUUCUCCUUCCUCCACCAUGUCACUAACCUACAUCCCAAAAUUUCACCCAAGUAUUCCUCCUCUCUCUCUCUCUCUUUUUUCAUUUGUUUAUUUCUUAAAAACCACCAGAAUAUCAUAAAUUUAUAAAAACUAUCCACGCUUUCUCUCUCUCUCUUUUCUGGUUUGGGUUUUGGUAGUAAUGAAUAUUGCUGAAAUGUGGUACUGAAUAUUGUUGAAAUUUGAUUUGGAAAGGAUGAAAUCUUGAAGGGUAUUUAUAAAACUUUUGUCUAUUCUUUAGAGCAUCAAAUGAGCCAUUCCGAAGGAGAGCUCAGAAUAGAAAACGUUGAAUAAAUCCUGAAUAGUAAUUCCAUUGAAUACCAAAUUCCAUCAAGGGAAACGACCGAAUCACGCAUGAUUUAGUUGGCUAUUACAACCAACCAAGCACACUAUUUAUUUUUCUUCUUCAUUUGACAUUCUUGUAUCUCUUUUUAUUAUUUAGGGUACUCUAUUUUCUUCUGCUCCAAGUUUUGGCUUCCCACAUUUGCUAUUUGUAAGAUUUUAGGGUUUUAUCUCAUCUGUUAUAUAUAAUCAACAUAAAGUAUAAAUUAUAAAAUAUACUUGAAAUUAUUG